GAUGAACGCUGGCGGCGUGCCUAAUACAUGCAAGUCGAGCGAACAGACGAGGAGCUUGCUCCUCUGACGUUAGCGGCGGACGGGUGAGUAACACGUGGAUAACCUACCUAUAAGACUGGGCUAACUUCGGGAAACCGGAGCUAAUACCGGAUAAUAUAUUGAACCGCAUGGUUCAAUAUUGAAAGACGGUUUUGCUGUCACUUAUAGAUGGAUCCGCGCCGCAUUAGCUAGUUGGUAAGGUAACGGCUUACCAAGGCAACGCUGCGUAGCCGACCUGAGAGGGUGAUCGGCCACACUGGAACUGAGACACGGUCCAGACUCCUACGGGAGGCAGCAGUAGGGAAUCUUCCGCAAUGGGCGAAAGCCGGACGGAGCAACGCCGCGUGAGUGAUGAAGGUCUUCGGAUCGUAAAACUCUGUUAUUAGGGAAGAACAAAUGUGUAAGUAACUAUGCACGUCUUGACGGUACCUAAUCAGAAAGCCACGGCUAACUACGUG
rnacentral:rRNA from 1 species